ACUGCUGCCACUUCUAUAAGGUAACUAGCAGUCUUGCAAACAAACUUGCAAGACUGCCAGCUGCAUCGGCGAAAGCCGAACGAGUAAGUUGUGCGGUGAUGCAAACCACGCAAAAGAAGUAAUGGAAACGGCAAAAGCAGCAACAGCAGAAUAAAGAAGAAACGCGGCUUCCAGCAAAACCUCCACCAUCACUGCUGCCGUCACAGCCGAGGUGGCAAUGAAGAAAAAAGAGCUAGUUGGCAAUGUAUAUGGGCAUAGAAGGCGGCAACGACGCUGAUUGGUAACAACCAGUGCAAACCAGCCGGAACCACUCUAAGAGCAACGAGAGUAAGAGAUGAAAGAAUCGCGGUAGAACAUGCUCGUAUUCAGGAAAAGUAGAAAGCAUGUGGAUAACUGCUGGGGCUGUGGAGGCUAGUGCAAAGUUUUUCGUGGAUGCGGAGUCGGUUGACUGGUUAGAUGGGCAGCUAUUGCGUGUCACACGUGCCGUGCUGGUUACCUAGCAACCUACCAGACGGUAAAUGCUUUUACCUGACUCAUUCUGCUGACAGCCCUUGCUUGUGAUAGUGUACAUUACGUUGAAGCCGAAAGGGCAUGAGGCUAGACAUGGGUUCCGAGGCUCUCCGGAACGAUGGAUGGGGCAUCCUACACCCGAAGAUGAACAAGGCCUACAUUCAGCAUACUGGCACACAAUGGGAUGUCGUGUGAUUUCUCAGAAAUCUUUCCAGUUUUGCGUCCAAUACUGCCGUUGAGCAUUGCUUCAAACAAGUGGUUCCUUGCGGCAUGAAGCGUGUUUAGGCGAAGUUUUGAACCUGGACCACUCUAUGUGUCUCUCAGCUUAGUGGAUGUUAAUUAGCACAGCGUCAACUGCGGAUAUUUGCGACGCUUGGGAAAAGAUCGGUCAAGGAGUUGCCGAAGACGUAGGGUCAAAGGAAAUUGAAGGGCGAUUCGUUCCAAGAAGUAUUGGACCUUCGAGGAUGCUAACGUUAAAUGCUCAAAUACAAAGGACAUACAUCUUAGCCGGUCAGUCUUUUACAGAACUGUUUAUUUUAAAUAACAUGAGAGCGGAAUUUUCGGUUCUAUUAUAAUUUUAUCACAACGAUAACUAAGAUCUUUGUCAAAUUUGACCAUUACGUACAAUUUCCGGCACGUAAAAAAAAGAUGAAAUUCUACGGUUGCUCCGUCACUACUCAAAGCCCCCUCUGAAACAGGCGUUAGCGUGGCACUUACAACAGCAAGCAACAACGGAGCUUAGCGUAAUCCCUACUGCCCGCGGCGGUACUGGGAUAAAUUUAGGACUGCAUACACAGUGGCAAUGGAACGACAGGUUGUUGAAAUUACACCAUACUGCUCGAUACUGAUAGUAUCUCACAGUGAGUUAAUACGAUAUUUACCAGUAGACAAACAAGUCUACUCCUUAUACAACUAUUCUACCGAACGCUCUAUUUCAACACGUGUAUAUUGGCGUGUUAAUAUCUGAUUAUUAUAAUGUUAAGCAUUAAUAAAGAUCAUUCUAUCAUUACGCGCUAGA